GAAGCCGCACCCCCGCGGGGCCGCCUGAGAACGAGUCCGCAGCCGCCGCCAUUCCGCCUCGCCGCACCCUUCCGCCCCGCCUCCGCUUUCCCGCCAACUUUGAGAAGCAGCGGGGCCCGGCCCUCAGCCACCAAUCAGGAGCGCGCUGGCAGAGCCGGCCAAUGGUCGACGUCAGAAGGCGGGACCGCCGGGCGAAGAGGCCCUCUCUAGCAGCCAGGAGUGCGCAUGCGUAGAUAAAAGUAAAUAAACGCCCUCAAGUUAGGAAUGAACGGAGGAAAUGGGUUAAACGAGAAUAAAUAAUUGAAGGCAGAGAGGUAAAGAACUUCCUCUUUCAACGCAUCUCAAAAUUUGGCGUGGAUGCAGAUCACCUACAGAGUAUGAUUAUUCAUCUUUACAUUGCCUUGUUUUGAGAUGAUGAAACUGAGGUUCAAGCCAAUGACAAGCCUGAAGCCACAUGGCUAGUGAGUGGCAGAGUCAGAACUCAAACCCAAAUCCACCUGACCCCAAACUUCAUGUAUCUUGAACUACAGGCUCCAUCUCACUGUUCACACUCUCACCCACCUCCACCCAUCAAAGGUGCCUCUAGACCUUUGCUUGUGUUGUUUGUUCUCUGCCUGACAUGCCUCCCCCUCAGUCGCUCUCAGUUGAAACCUGGCUUAGUCAUCAAGUGCCUGCUCAGCAGCAAGACCUCUUCUCUUCACAGAGCCUUUGUUGAGCCCCACCACUGGAAUUAACCUCUUCCUUCCAGACCAGUUUGGUGGUGCCCCUAAUCCACAGUUUCCCAACCUCAGCCCUACUGACACUGGGGCUGGAUAAUCUUUGUCGUGGGGGCUGUCGUGUGCACUGCAGGAUAUGGAGCAGUACCCCUGCUUUCCACCCACGAGAUGCCAUGGCACCCUCCUCAAGUUGCAACAACCAAAAUAUGUCUUCAGACAUUGCCACUGUCCCCUAGGGUACUAAAUCACCUCUAUGGAGAACCACUGUCCUAAGCUACAAUACUCACUGCCCUCUGUUUUGAGCCAUAAAUAGUUGUGUCUGUGUCUAUCUUACCAGUAAAGCCUGGGUUCUCAAACUAAGUUGUCAGCAGCAGACAGACAGGUAACCCUGGUGUAGCAGGGGCAAACUGGCCUUCUGAUGUCCCGGCAACAGGGGUCCAUCACACUCAGCCGGUGGUUGUCGUGCAGGACUGUGGGCCCAUUGUUGCUAGAUCUGAUUUUUCAAGACAUUUUCUUUUUUUCGUUUGUUUUUGUUUUGUUUUAGAUGGAGUCUAACUCUGUUGCCCAGGCUGUAGUGCAAUGGCACGAUCUCAACUCACCACAACUUCCACCUCCCAGGUUUAAGUGAUUCUCCUGCCUCAGCCUUACAAGUAGCUGGGAUUACAGGUGCCCGCCACCACGCCCGGCCAAUUUUGUGUAUUUUUAGUAGAGAUGGGGUUUCACCAUGUUGGCCAGGCUAGUCUCGAACUCCCUACCUCAGAUGAUCCACCUGCCUUGGCCUCCCAAAGUGCUGGGAUUACGGGCGUGAGCCACCGCGCCCAGCUCAAGACAUUUUCAUGUAUAAUUUCCAUGUUUAAAAAAAAAAUGCUGGCAAACAAUUCAAUUCUGAAACAAAGGAACAAAAACAAACCAUGUGCCCCAGAAAGUCAUCCAUGGACUGACUCUGGCCCGUGGGCUUCCAAUCUGCAAACUCUCUCUAGAACGUGACCUCUGCUUCAGGCACCAAGGCAGCCUGCAUGUUCACUAACGUGCAGGUCCUUAAAUCUCCUGCAAAAUAGCCAAGGGGCUGUAGUGUUCCACCAGCUCCAAGAGUUGCAAAAUCAGCAUUUUAAAUUACAGUCAUGAGCAGACAAGUGGGGUCUGUUGACACAUGUUGGGUAAGCCUCCCCUCUAGGGAGGAUUAUCCCCCCUCCCCCACACCACAAUCCAUCACCCUCACACUCAGGCCUGAAGCAACCCCCUGUGCCAGCCUCCCCGAGCUCCAGCUUCCCAGUGAGAUCAAAGAUCCUUGGAAGGCGGUUUCCUGCCACCUGCACCAGUGAGGACAAAGCCCUCUCCCUCUCCCUCUCCCUCUGCCCCUCCCCUCUUCCCUCUUUCCACGGUCUCCCUCUGAUGCCGAGCCGAAGCUGGACUGUACUGCUGCCAUCUCUGCUCACUGCAACCUCCCUGCCUGAUUCUCCUGCCUCAGCCUGCUGAGUGCCUGCGAUUGCAGCCUCACGCCGCCACGCCUGACUGGUUUUCGUAUUUUUUGGGUGGAGACGGGUUUUCGCCGUGUUGGCCGGGCUGGUCUCCAGCUCCUAACCGCGAGUGAUCCGCCAGCCUCGGCCUCCCGAGGUGCCGGGAUUGCAGACGGAGUCUCCUCCACUCAGUGCUCAAUGGUGCCCAGGCUGGAGUGCAGUGGCGUGAUCUCGGCUCGCUA
rnacentral:lncRNA from 1 species